rnacentral:rRNA from 1 species
ACGUAGGGGGCUAGCGUUGUCCGGAUUUAUUGGGCGUAAAGAGCGUGUAGGCGGCCUGGUAGGUCUGCUGUGAAAACUCGAGGCUCAACCUCGAGAUGUCGGCGGAAACCAUCUGGCUAGAGUCCGGAAGAGGAGAGUGGAAUUCCUGGUGUAGCGGUGAAAUGCGUAGAUAUCUGGAGGAACACCGGUGGCGAAGGCGGCAUCCUGGUCCGGCAUUGACGCUGAGGCGCGAAAGCCAGGGGAGCAAACGGGA